CCACGUUGCAUCAACCGGGAUCUGAUG
rnacentral:piRNA from 1 species